GCUGGCGGCAGGCCUAACACAUGCAAGUCGAACGGAGUUAUAUUGUAGCUUGCUAUGGUAUAACUUAGUGGCAGACGGGUGAGUAAUGUAUAGGAAUCUACCUAGUAGUACGGAAUAAUUGUUGGAAACGGCAACUAAUACCGUAUACGCCCUACGGGGGAAAAAUUUAUUGCUAUUAGAUGAGCCUAUAUUAGAUUAGCUAGUUGGUGGAGUAAUAGCCUACCAAGGCAAUGAUCUAUAGCUGAUCUGAGAGGAUGAUCAGCCACACUGGAACUGAGAUACGGUCCAGACUCCUACGGGAGGCAGCAGUGGGGAAUAUUGGACAAUGGGCGAAAGCCUGAUCCAGCCAUGCCGCAUGAGUGAAGAAGGCCUUUGGGUUGUAAAGCUCUUUUAGUGAGGAAGAUAAUGACGGUACUCACAGAAGAAGUCCUGGCUAACUCCGUGCCAGCAGCCGCGGUAAUACGGAGAGGGCUAGCGUUAUUCGGAAUUAUUGGGCGUAAAGGGCGCGUAGGCGGAUUAGUAAGUUAAAAGUGAAAUCCCAAGGCUCAACCUUGGAAUUGCUUUUAAAACUGCUAAUCUAGAGAUUGAAAGAGGAUAGAGGAAUUCCUAGUGUAGAGGUGAAAUUCGUAAAUAUUAGGAGGAACACCAGUGGCGAAGGCGUCUAUCUGGUUCAAAUCUGACGCUGAGGCGCGAAGGCGUGGGGAGCAAACAGGAUUAGAUACCCUGGUAGUCCACGCUGUAAACGAUGAAUGUUAAAUAUGGGAAGUUUUACUUUCUGUAUUACAGCUAACGCGUUAAACAUUCCGCCUGGGGACUACNGUCGCAAGAUUAAAACUCAAAGGAAUUGACGGGGACCCGCACAAGCGGUGG
rnacentral:rRNA from 1 species